AUUGAACGCUGGCGGCAUGCCUUACACAUGCAAGUCGAACGGCAGCACGGGUGCUUGCACCUGGUGGCGAGUGGCGAACGGGUGAGUAAUACAUCGGAACGUACCUUAUCGUGGGGGAUAACGCAGCGAAAGUUGCGCUAAUACCGCAUACGCCCUGAGGGGGAAAGCGGGGGACCGUAAGGCCUCGCGCGAUUAGAGCGGCCGAUGUCUGAUUAGCUUGUUGGUGAGGUAAAAGCUCACCAAGGCGAUGAUCAGUAGCUGGUCUGAGAGGACGAUCAGCCACACUGGGACUGAGACACGGCCCAGACUCCUACGGGAGGCAGCAGUGGGGAAUUUUGGACAAUGGGGGCAACCCUGAUCCAGCAAUGCCGCGUGAGUGAAGAAGGCCUUCGGGUUGUAAAGCUCUUUUGUCAGGGAAGAAACAGCAGCUCUAACACAGACUGCGAAUGACGGUACCUGAAGAAUAAGCACCGGCUAACUACGUGCCAGCAGCCGCGGUAAUACGUAGGGUGCGAGCGUUAAUCGGAAUUACUGGGCGUAAAGCGUGCGCAGGCGGUUAUACAAGACAGGCGUGAAAUCCCCGGGCUUAACCUGGGAAUGGCGUCUGUGACUGUAUAGCUAGAGUGUGUCAGAGGGGGGUGGAAUUCCACGUGUAGCAGUGAAAUGCGUAGAUAUGUGGAGGAACACCAAUGGCGAAGGCAGCCCCCUGGGAUAACAC
rnacentral:rRNA from 2 species